GAUCAUGGCUCAGGAUGAACGCUAGCUACAGGCUUAACACAUGCAAGUCGAGGGGAAACGACAUCGAAAGCUUACUUUUGAUGGGCGUCGACCGGCGCACGGGUGAGUAACGCGUAUCCAACCUGCCCAUCACUUGGGAAUAACCUUGCGAAAGUAAGACUAAUGCCCAAUGACAUCCCACGAAGGCAUCCGAAUGGGAUUAAAGAUUUAUCGGUGAUGGAUGGGGAUGCGUCUGAUUAG
rnacentral:rRNA from 1 species